UACGGAGGGUGCAAGCGUUAAUCGGAAUUACUGGGCGUAAAGCGUGCGUAGGCGGCUGCUUAAGUCAGAUGUGAAAGCCCCGGGCUUAACCUGGGAACGGCAUUUGAUACUGGGCAGCUCGAGUUGAGUAGAGGAGAGGGGAAUUUCCGGUGUAGCGGUGAAAUGCGUAGAGAUCGGAAGGAACACCAGUGGCGAAGGCGCCUCUCUGGACUCAAACUGACGCUGAGGUACGAAAGCGUGGGUAGCAAACAGG
rnacentral:rRNA from 1 species